rnacentral:lncRNA from 1 species
AUCAGAGGGCAAAACCGAACUAGUGACCGCCGCCUCGCGAAAUUCCCGGCCACCGUAGUGCGUCACUGGGUACCACCCCCGACGGACAAACCGGCCCCGCCUUCUCCCAAGGCGCAGGCGCAGUUGGCCCAAAGCCGCUGCAAUGGGGGCGGUGAAGGACGCCGCGCCGGUCGACUCAACAGGCGCGCGCUCCGCCGCCUGCUGAGUCAGUAACUGUCAUUUUAGCUGCGCCUGCGCGUAGCACUUAAAAGCGGCGUGGCCUGAGCUGAACCUUUUGGGUUGCAAGGACAUACAGAAUUAUUUGGACGCCGGUUCCACUGACGUGAGAGGCGGUUGCUCCCGUUCCGUUCGUUCUUUUAAAUGGAGAGGCUAUCAUGCGGACCAAGUGUGAUUACCGAGGAGUUCUGGAGUUAAAAAAAACAGUUGUGGGUCUCGCCAGACAAGGCUGUCCGACAUUAAGGCACCUGGGAACUGCUUUCAAGGUGGAGUUUCCAAGACUGGCAGGCAGAUACAGGACUGGUACCAAUGUUAGCAAACUCAUUCUUAGAGGAGACCUGUUCUGCUUCUUUGCUUCUCAUGAUUGCGGAAGGAGUUGUCUUUGGGCCUUUGGACUCCUCUGAUUGUUUUGGGUAAGUAUUUAUUUGGUGCUUUAAUUCUGUGUUAUUGCUGUAUAUUGCAUUUUGUUAUUAAUUUAAUUCGUUGUUUGUUUCUUUUAAAAGUUGUAUCAUGUCUUGCAAACCUGACUUAUGAACAAAUCAAUAUCUACCAUACAAAAGCUGUGCACAUGUACUUGAGGGUAAAUUUCCUUCAACAAGGAAGAAUAUGCUGGAUACAAAUAGAUAGCAAAGGUGCUGGGUACUGAUUGUUGAACUUGAGCUCAUUAUGGGUAGCUUUCUUAGAGAAUUCAUUCAAUAGUUAUCCAAGCUGCAUAUGCAUGUAUUACGAAUAGAAGAGGAAUGUUCCCGUAUAAAUAAGUUAUAUAUCGAUAUCAUGCCAUUUCAACAAUGAAAAAAGCAGGAGAAUAAAAGAACAAAGCAGCAUGGAAAGAGUUGUAAC